AUUGAACGCUGGCGGCAUGCCUUACACAUGCAAGUCGAACGGCAGCGGACCUUCGGGUGCCGGCGAGUGGCGAACGGGUGAGUAAUGCAUCGGAACGUACCUUUCAGUGGGGGAUAACGUAGCGAAAGUUACGCUAAUACCGCAUAUUCUGUGAGCAGGAAAGCAGGGGAUCGCAAGACCUUGCGCUGAUUGAGCGGCCGAUGUCAGAUUAGCUAGUUGGUGAGGUAAAGGCUCACCAAGGCGACGAUCUGUAGCGGGUCUGAGAGGAUGAUCCGCCACACUGGGACUGAGACACGGCCCAGACUCCUACGGGAGGCAGCAGUGGGGAAUUUUGGACAAUGGGGGCAACCCUGAUUCAGCCAUGCCGCGUGAGUGAAGAAGGCCUUUGGGUUGUAAAGCUCUUUCGGCCGGGAAGAAAUCGCACAGGCUAAUACCUUGUGUGGAUGACGGUACCGGAAUAAGAAGCACCGGCUAACUACGUGCCAGCCGCCGCAGUAAAAC
rnacentral:rRNA from 1 species